UACUAUUCCUGGGCACUUGGGAUAUAAUCCAGGAUAUCCAAGAUGUUUUGGGAUAUAAGGCAAGAUCCCAGCCCUGGUGAAACUUCUGUUGUAGCAGAGAAAAACAAACAAUACAUAAUACACAUAACAAAAUUACAUAAUGUGUUCUAUGGUGGUAAAUUCCAAGAACACAAAAGGAAAUAUGGAUCAGGUAAGGGGGACCUAAAGGUGGAGGAUGCAGCAUUAAAUACAGAGUCAGGGUGAGCCUUCAAAGGCAAUGACAAAAGGAAUUCCAGUUGUGGCUCAGCAGGUUAAGAACCCACAUAGUGUCAAUGAGGAUAUGGGUUUGAUCCCUGGCCUUCCUCAGUGGGUUAAGGAUCUAGCAUCACUGCAAGCUGUUGCAUAGGCCUGCAGCUGCAGCUCUGAUUUGACCCCUAACCUGGAAACUUCCAUAUGCCACAGGUGCAGCUAUAUAAAGAAGGAAAAAGAGAGAGAGAGAGAGAGAGAGAGAUGACAAUGAAAAACUUAAAGAUGGUGAGAGACUGGCAGUUAGAUAUCUCAGGGAGAAGAAACAACAAGAGCAAAGGCACUGAGGUAGGAGUGUAUCUGGCAUGUUUAUAAAAUGCCGGGAGCCCAGCAGGGUUAUAGCAGCAUGAUUAGAGGUGAGAAAUAACAGACAGAAGAGAUAACAGAGCCAGGUCAUGUAGGGAGCCCACUUUGCACUGGGAAGCCACUAGGAAUUUGAGCUAAAACUGUCACAAGCAACAAAGGUUUUACGUUUUCCUUAGGGAGACUGUGUAAGGAUGCUGUAGGAAUCCAUGUGGGAAAUGAUGGUGACACAUUCUACAGGGUCCCCAGUCUCAGAGGGAAACUUCCAGCACUUCACCAUUAAGCAACAUGUUUCCUGUAUACUGUUGAAAGCUAACAGUUUAAUGGUAGAUUCCAUUAUUGUUCAUUUUAACCAUAAAUUUUAUUCCUAAUUCCCUACAUUAUUUUUAAAAAUUAUGUGUAAAGUUUAUAGUAUGACUCUUUUGACUCAGCAUGAAUUGUCUUCAGUUUAUUUAAAUGUAGUGCAUUACAUUGGCUGAUUUUCUAAUAUAAUCUUGCAUGCCUAGAGCAAACCAUCAUGAUAUUUUCUUACUUGGAUGCUUGGUUACUUCUGACUGCGUACUGUGUCUUUUCAUUAAAAAAAAAAAGUGACUGUAUUAAUUAUUUCAAUCAUAGAACAAAAACUUUUUAAAGAAAUUCUGUGUGCUUGACAACAUUUGAUACUGUCAAGUUUCUGAUUUUUUUUUUUUUUGGCCAUUAAUAUAGUUUCAAAUAGUGAGGCGGCUUAAUAUUAUUGACAUAAUGUCUCUUUUAUCACAGUUUGUUACUAACUAGGAUAUCAUUGGAAUCUAUUCCUUGGCAUUUAUUUUGAUAUAUAACCAAAAUAUAUUUGGUUUUGUAUUGACCUUUUCUUGUUUUGAUAUAUAACCAAAAUAUAUUUGGUUUUGUAUUGACCUUUUCUUGUUUUGGCAUAAAAGUUGUAAAAGUCCCAUAGUUGUGUGAAUUUUUCUCUUUUAUUUUCUCAACUAAAUUAUAUAUCGUGAAAUUUUUAAAUUGAUUCAUUGUUUCUCUUCUUUCCAUUUUAUUUUUCCUGAUUGAUAUUGGACUAAUAAAGAUUUCUAUAAUCCAUAUUCUCCACUUAUUUGAAGCUGCAAAUUAUAUUACUAAUGUUCAAAUAAUUUACCCAAAUUUAACUGCACAUUUUUCUAAUGAAAUCUAAAGUUAUUUAAUGUCUUUUUCUCCCUUGAAAAACAUGUCAAAAAUUUUAGCAUGCCUUAAAAACAUACAGCAUUCCUAUUAUGUUAUUGCUGUCUAUACUUUAAUUUCACCUUUUUAAACACUUUUUUUUCAUUUAUAGACAGAAUUUUAUUUUUUCUGUGCUCACUGCUCACUUUUUCCCCUUUCCAUGCUCUGAGUUCACAUCCCCUCUACCUGAAGUGCAUAUUGUAAUAAACUUUUGGAUAUUAUUCUGUAAAUGGUAACACUCUUGGUGUAAUUGAAAACUGUCUCUACCCUCACGCAGGAAUGGAGAUUAAGCUGAGUGUAAAAGUCUAGGUUAACAAUGAGUUUCCUUCAGGACUUUGAAUAUAUGAUUCUAUUGUCUUCUGGAAAUUCUUCUGGGUGAUAUCCGUUCUCAGUCAGAUUACAAUUUAUAUGUAGGAAUCUGUCUUUUCUCUCUGCUGGCUCUUAAGAUUCUUCUCUUUCUCAUCAAUGUUUUUUAAUUUUACUCUUACAUGUAAUUGUGAAUUUUUGUUCUUCCUAUAUGGCGUUUGUUGUGUAUUUUCUAAGGACUCAGAAUUUCUUAAAAUCUCAAAAGCCUCACUUUUACAUCUUUAUAUAUUGCUUAUCUACUAUUCUAUCUAUCCUCCUUAGAGAAAUGCUGCUAGACAUAAAGUGGGGAUUAUCAAUCUAGCAUCCACUUACAUAAUGCUUUUCCAGUUUUCACUUUUUUCCUGUCACCACUACUUGAUUCUGGGUAAAUUCUGCAUCCAGCUUCAAAUAGCUCUUGUUCCUUUGGGUCCAUUCCAUAUGCCCUCUAAUCUAUUAUAUUCUUUAAUUUCAAUUUUUAUAAAUCCCAAGAUUUCAAUUUGACACUUUCAUAGUUUUUUAGUUUACUUUUACCAUAAUCUCUUCAUUUUAAUGGAUGUUAUCAAAGUAUUCAUCUUUUGGCAUUCAAAAUAUACUUUUAUUGAUUAUUUAAGAUGAUAUUAAGUUCAUUUAACAAGAAAUAAUUGACACUGGAAAUAUGAGUAAUGCCAGCCUUCCUUCUUAGUGUGUGGUUGAGAAUGGUAUUUGCAGUCUGCCUUGAGACUCCCCCUGGCCCCUGUAGUCGGUCAGAGUAGAAAGUCAGAGCGUGCCUCCUGCCAGGUCCCAGAACUAGUUUUUAAAUGGCAUGCUAGGGCUUUCCCUCCUUACAGAUUGAGCUGGCAGCUUUGCUGGUUUUCUUGUCAUGACUUUCUUUCUUCCUCUUUCCUCUAUAGCCCACAGCUUCCUCUAAAGCCAUGGAUCAAGCAGAUUUUCUACAAACAAUUUUUUCAGCCUUCUUUCACUGGCUGUGAAGACACUGAACCUGCCUCCUAUCUCCAAUCUAAUAUGGAACACUUUUCCCCAUGGUUACUCCUCUGAAUUGAACUUCUGUCUACCACAUCUUUCUUUCUCAUCAGCCAGGAAGACUAUGGCCUCAGGCUGUAAAAAGGUUAGCUUGUAAGGGCCCAUGUUCUGGUCAAAAACAAUUGGAAAAAACUAGAUAAGACUUUUUAAAUGUGCAGACAUUGGAGAUACAAGGAGGAAGUUUGGACUUGAGGUGCUUGAUCCAAAAGAAAGGCAGGCACAUUGAAGUGAGCACAACUUUCUGGAAGCCAUGUUUACCCCUGUGAAUUUGCCUAUUCUCAGCACAAGAGGUGAAGCUGAGAUGCUUGACAGAAACUCACUGCUACAAGAUAUAAAACUAACAAAGACAUUUACUACCUCAUGAGGCUGAAGAUUUUUAAAAAACAUGAAAUUUUGUGGCUGCCAAGGCAACCAAGCCUGCAGGAAAUAAGAUCUAUGAGAGAAGAGAGAGAGAGAGAGAAUAAAUCUGAUAGACAAUGGUUCAUAUCAGGGAUUCUCAUCCUCCAUACUAUUGAUUUGUUGAGACAGAUAACUCUCCAUCCUGUGCAUGUUUGGAUAUUUAGCAGCAUUCCUGGCCCUACCCAGUAGAUGUUAGCAGAACCCACAUCCCACCCCCACUCCCAGAGUUACGUGAAGCAAAAAUGUCUUCAGAUGUUUUCCAACAUCUCCUGAGGAACAAAAUCACCCUGAUUAAUAACCGACAUUUUAGACUUCUGAAAUAUUUGUCAGAUCCUUAAGGUAUACUGAGUAAUAGCCUAAGAAACCAAGCAGGAAAAGAAAAAGCAGAAUAUCUGAAAAACAGAACAGAAUAAUCAAGUCACAGGCACUGAGGAGAUAAAAAAUAGAGUUUCUUAGGGGGAGAGAUCAUAGAAAACAAUCCAGUCUCUAAACUAGUACCUUGGAGAGAUUUACAUUGCAACUGGGAUGGUCUAUUCUAGUCUGAGCCUAACAACAAUAGCAACUCAGCACAUAAUGAACUCAGGUCCUGAUUAGCUGUGAUGUGCUUUAUAAUAACUGUCUGCCAGACAACAAAGGAAAUCAUCACCAGAGGAAGAUAACAUCAGCCAGAAAUUCUAAAAUUUUUUAAUACACAAUGUCUUAUGCUCAAUCAAAACUUUUCUCACAUAACAAGAAACAAGACCAACAAACAGAAAAUAUAACAGAUAAUAAAAUGGAUCCAUAGGUGGCCAAGGAAUUGAGGUUAUCAAAUACUGACUUUAAAGAAAAUAUUAUUCAAUAAGCCAAAGUUAUAAGGACAAGAAAAUAAAUGACGAUUUAAAAUAUAAAGCUUAAAUCUUCAAUUGUAAAUUUUAGAACUAAAAAAAAUUAUAUGAUUGUUAAUGAGGAUCAAAAGAAGACUUUAACAGUAGAUAAGAUAUUUCUUGGCACAUGACCCCUCAUGGCUCUUACCAUUGCUUCAUUUGUCACAUCUUCUUUGACUUUCAUCUUCUAAAUAUCCUUGUGAAAAUAUGGCCCAAGGUAGAUAAUGCAGGAUACUCUCCAAUUGCAAGUGCCUUAACCUAACCAUAUCUGCAAAAUUUAAUAAAAUGUUGUUAAAUUUAAAAACUGGCAAAACCAUACACUGAAAACUCAAAAUAUUAUUGAGAUGGAAAGACAUACCAUGUUCAUGGAUCAGAUGACUCAAUAUAUUCGAGAUGUCGAUUCUCUUUAAACUGGUCAGGGUUUUUUUUUGUUUUCUUUCUGUGUAUGUGGAAAUUGACAUGUGGAUACUAACAUUUCUAUUGAAAUGCAAAGGGCCUAGAAAAGUCAAAACAAUUUUGAGAAAUAAAAAAGUUGGAGGACUUAACCUGAUUUCAAAAAUUUCCUUUAAACUAAUAUAAUCCAGAGAGUGUUGUACUGGUGUGAUUAUAUGUAUAUAAUGACUGUAAGAGAAUAGAGAGUCCAGAAAUGGACUGACACAUAUGUGGUCAAUAAAUUUUUAACAAAGGUACCAAGUUACUUGUAUGGGAAGAAAAUUCUGAAACAAUUAGAUAUGGAAAUAAAUAAACCUUAGCUCUUAUUUCACAUAAUAUAAAAACAUUAGCCUGAUGUUAAUUAUAGACCUAAAAGUAAGAGCUAAAACUGUAACAUUCUAAGAAUACACAGGAAAAAAUCUUUGUAAUUUUGAUAAGUGAAGUGUUCUUAGCACACAAAAGGAAUAAAACACACACACAAAAGGAUAAGUUUGGCUUUAUCAAAAGGAAAACUUUUGCUCUUCAAAAGAUACUUUCAAGAAAGUAAAAAAAAGUCACAGAUUAGAAGAAAAUAUUUCAAAAAUUUGACCUCACAGAGUAUUGUGUCCAUAAUAUAUAAAAAUUCUUUCAACUCAAUAAUAAAGAUCCAAUAAUUCAAUUUUUUAAAUAGGUGAAAGAUUUGAACAGAAAGUUUACCAAAUAAUAUAAAUGAAAAAUAAGCUCUUGAAAAUAUAUGUAAUGUUAUUAGUCACCAGGAAUACACACAUUUGAAACCACAGUGAGAUAUUACUGUAUACCCGUAAAGAAGCUAAAAUUAAAAAAUCUAACAAUAGUAGGUGCUAGGGAAGAUUUGGAGAAACCAAAACUCUCAUAUAUUGCUGAUGGGGAUGCAAAUAAUAUAAUUACAUUGGAAAGUAAUUCAGCAACUGUUAACUACUUAAACGUACUUUUACCAUAAAACUAAGCAUAUUAACUAGUAGGUAUUUAAACAAACAAAUACAUAUGUCCACACAAUGAUUUUUACUAGAAUGUUCAUAGCAGUUUGUUUCUUAAUAGCCAACAAUUGGGGGGAAAGAUAUAUAUAUACAUAUAUACACAUACUCAUAUAUGCAUAUAUAUAUUUACAUCUACUGAUGAAUUAAGAAAAUGCAUCACAUGCAUAUAAUUGACUACUGCUCAGUAAUAAAAAAUAACAAUUUAUUUACACAUGUAAAUACAGAUGAAUCAAUCACAAAGUACAAGUAAAAGAUAUCAGAUACAAAUGACUACUUAAGUUUGUUUCAAUUUUUAUGAAAUUCUGGAAAAGCCAAAACUAUAGGAACAGGAAACAUGUUUUCCUGGGGUCCACGGGUGCUUUUGACUGGAUAUGGUCACGGGGUAACAAAAAUAUUAUAUAAAAUCUUCUGAUUGUGAGUGAUUAUUUAUAUAUUGUUAUAAAAGUUAAUCAAGUUGUAGGUUUAAAACAGCAAAUUUUUGGAGAUCCCACUGUGGUUAGUGGGUUAUGAACCCAAUAUGUAUCCAUGAGGAUGCAGGUUCGAUCCCUGGCCUUGCCCAGUAGGUUAAG
rnacentral:lncRNA from 1 species